rnacentral:tRNA from 1 species
GGUAGCGUGGCCAAGCGGUCCAAGGCGCUGGAUUAAGGCUCCAGUCUCUUUCGAGGCGAGGGUUUGAAUCCCUCCGCUGCCA